rnacentral:tRNA from 1 species
GGCCCCGGAUACGUCUGGCGACGUUGGCUCACUGUCUAUGAGCACGAGGAGGGUUCGAUUCCCUUCGGGGCCG